AUAUCUUCUCGGCUUUUUAGCUAAGAUCAUGUUUUUAAAAUGUUCUUAUCAGAGUAACUCCUGAUAUUUGCCUUCGGGCAAUUAGGAAUACGAAAUCUUUGAUCACGCGAGUUUUCCUGGAGUUCCACUCUUUCCAGGCGAAGCUCGCCCUUU
rnacentral:snRNA from 12 species